UUAAAGAUGACCUGUUUUUUAAACACACAUGGAGUUUUCUCUCUGCUGUCACCUUCCAGCAUGAAAGGUUUGUUUUAAGAAAGCCUUACAGUGCCAAUCCCCCGUGCACCUUCCCUCUCUUCUGUCUGCUUUAAGCUCCUUACAGGUCUUAUGUGAUGUCAGCCAUAAUACUUUUCCUCCUUUUGGGUCUGCCUUGAAGAUACAGUGAUGUGUUGUUUGUGGUGGAACAACAAUAACAAAGUAAAAAUAAUUGGUUUUCUUGUUCUUACAGCAGUGGAAAAGUGAAUCCCAUUUCAUCUACCAGAGCAAAAGAUGUUUGAAGGUAGAACCAGAGUGUGCUUUCCUCUUGGGGAUGAAGGGAUAAAAGCAACCAGGAGUGGGACAACAGUCCCACUUACUUUGUGAUGCUGCCAUGGAACCCCAUCACCAAGGGAACAAAAGGGAUGUGGGAUGAUGCUCUCCCCACAGGCUUUCUCUUCUUCAGUGCUUCUUGGACACCUGAGCAUUCAGGAGCACCACUGAUCUGCCAAGAUUUUCAGGAGACCAAUAAUCAGUCUAAAUCAGCCGUGGGAAUGCCAUGGCUUUGGUUUGGAAUCUGUCAAGGAAGGCCAUGCAGUCGGGAAGUUUAACCUCAAAUCAGAUCAACGCAGAAACAGAAGCAAGCUUUGGUGACAGCAAGGCUUAUUCAGAGAAGAAGGAGAAUGUGAAUUAUUCAGCCAUCUCCACAGGAUAUUUUCCAUAUUACAGAUCAAAUGAGGAGCACUUUGUCCAGCCUCUCUUAUAUGGCUUAAAUGCAGAGGGAGAGAAGCCUGAAAGCAACUGGAAAGAUGAAGCAGAAGGUGAAUGUGCAGAGCUUGGUGGAGAUGCUGAGAAGACCACCCACCCAGCUCUGGGGGCAGAGAGGACGCUGUGUUCUUCCAUGGCCAAUGUAGAGCCAACAUCCCAGCAGCUCCUGGGAGGCAGCACCUUAGGAAGCUGCCUGCCAACCUUCUCCCUCUCCACCUCACUGCCAAGCCUGGACUGGCGCUUUUCUUCCACUGGAUACGUCCCUUACUACAGAACAGAAGCAGAGCUCUGCAUUGGCCCAUCAACGUGUGACAAGUUUCUCACCAGGACAGAAAUUUUGGAGAACAAAGAGGGAAGAUGGGGAGAAGAAAAAAACACUUGGAAUUUUGGUGCUGGCUGCUUGGUGUCCUGAGAAAAAAGCAGCAAGUUUGUCAGCAAAAGGCAGAAACUGGUUUAACAUUGACAUGAAUUAGAAAUUCUUGAAAGCCAUAGCCACGUGAACAUCUGUAUGAAUAUGGAAUAUACUUCUCCCUUUGAAUAAAACAGUAAGUGAGAAGCUGGACUCUGUAAUGACAGCAGAAAGCAGCAGGGAAAUGUCUGAUGGGGAAAAUUUGCUCUAGAAAACAUGAUGAAGGAGAAGGGUAAAGAUCAGAACUGUGUUUUUCUAUGGCUGUUCCCUGAAGAGAACUUGCUCCCUCCCAGCCAAGAGUAGAGGAACUCCCAGGACCUCUUGGUCAGAGUGAAUCCCCCCAGUAACACAGAAUUGGCACAGAAUUCCCUGAUUCUCCUGCAGAACCCACGUUCUGCCAUGCUGGUUGGGACAUGGAUACACAUUUUGUGCAGCUGCAUUCAAGACCCAGUGAGAGAGGUGACCACACAGAUAAGGGGAGAAAAUUCCCGUGUUUACAAAGAUGAAAGAUAGUAAAUCCAUUCACAAAGUCAGCAAAUAAUCUGCAAAUUGAAAAUGUCCUUUUUGCCUUUUAUCCAUACCUGCUGUUCCCCCAGUAUAGACUGUGCAGGGCCAACGGUGACCUCUUGUUCAUGGGAAUGUGUGACAGCUGUGAAACGACAGUGCCAAUGCAGAAGGGAUGUGCAGCCAUGGGAAACGGCCAGCGGGAAGAAAUAAGAAUUAUUUGAAUCUAAGCUGCUUGGAGGAAUUAAGCAGAGACAUAAUUUCCAGUAGGAAUUGGGAAAUACAUUUCCUCUCCCCUCCACUACAAUCCUUCCAUUGUAUUAAUGGCAUCUGUUAGACAACAGUCGUACACAAGAGAAAAAAAGCAUUUUUAUUUAAAAUCUUUGUCAGUAAAAUUUUUUGAGCGCAUUUCCAUUAUGUCUGUCUUCAUUUCACUUGCACAGUCAGUAAUGAAAAUGUUCCUGAUUACUUUAAUAUGUGCAACUAUAGGCUUCCAUAGUGUUGACUGUGGAAGACCUGACAACAGCAUCCAGGAGCAACUUGACGUUGGUGAAGCUUCGCUGAUUUACACCAGAUGAGGAUCUGUCCAGAAAAGCACAGCUCAGUGUUUUCUUUGCAAUUGAGAAACGUUGCAACACGCUCCCCUUACUGCCAACUAUGUCACCUCUUUCAGACACCACACAAGUUGAUGAAACACGUCUUUUCCCAUUCCUGCUACGUGUGCAGACAACUUCUCUUCAAAAUAGACCCACUCCAACUAUUUAGUGCGUCUGUGAGUGCUUCUGUCAUGAUCACAGGUCAGUGGCAGUAGUCUCAAAUGGAUCUUUUUGGUUGAGUUGGUGCCAGCUCAUCCCAGUGUCCACAAGCAGCUGGCUGGGUUGGAAAUGGGAACACAGGUAGGGCAGCCAGUGUGGCUUCCCCAUCCACAGCCCUUUGCCUGGUCUCAUCCUGCCACUGGUCCUCUUCAGCCAUCACCUUCCCAAUUACUAAGAACUCUGGCUGAACCGAGUGAGGCUGUAUGGAAGAGGUUUUAAACACAAAGGUUUAUGCAUUGGGUGCAUUGAAACGAGGUCAUGCCAAAUAUCUGGGGUUGUCUGAAUUCAACAGAGCAGAGAAGGGAAGGAAUUCUGCCUUGAAAUUGGGUGUGAUUUAUUCUGAGAAUAUUAAAUUCAGUGUUCCUAUACAUUCAGCGUGUUAAAAUAGCUCACACUAUGUAAUACCAAAUCCACAAAUCUCUCUUAUUUCCACUAUGUAGAAAAUAGCUGCUUUCUAUUGGCUGUACGUGGUAAUUUAUGAGAAUGGCCAACAUCUGAAAUCAAGGAUUUGGAAGAUGAGAAUAUUACAAGCUUUACCCUUCUGGAUCAGAAGAGUCUAGUUUUAAGCAAAUGCCAGCAAAUAUCAUAUCAUAUGAUGCCAUCUGGAAAGCGGAGCUGAACUCAUGAUUUUAAUAUAUUUUCCAUACAGCUUUGCUCCGAGUAGAAAGGAUGGGAGGCAGCGUUGGAUGUUCCUGUGAUUCUCUCUGAGGCUUACGCCGCUUUAUUACUUUUCCACAUAGUUAACAUCCUGUACACGGACUGCAAGUGAUUUUUCUCAAAGUGAUCGGAGGAUUGGAUUGCUGCCUUCAAGAAGACGUGGUGUACCUUUGCCCUAAGAGUGUGCUGGAAACAACAAACUAUUGGGUUCAGCCCAGCAUACCGACACCGUAUUUCCUUUCAUCUCUCGAUUUGAAAAAUUCAUAAUUAUUGCUCUAAACCCGCAGCACUUCGACAUUACUGCUCUUCUGGAGUCUGCAAAAACAAUCCGCAGUGACUUUGAUGCACGCUGUGUAGUCUUCGUUGAUCCCAUUUAAGCUUUUAAUCUCGCGAAUACACAAAGUUAAUUCAUGAAACAAAACAAACAAACCGCAGCAAAAGAUGCGCUUUCAUAACAAAAGCGUAACUGUGGGGAUUUAUUACAAUGCAGGUUCUUCUUUCUCAAUCGCUGAUGUUAGAUUUUCAUUUGGAAAGGAGGAAAUGGGACUCGGUCACAGUGUUUGUUAAUCCGCCUGCCCUUAGGGAAAAGCUGACUUCAAAGUCAGUGGAAAGGUUCGCACAGACAGUGCAGGGUGUGGAAUUUCUCUGGAAUCAGCUAAAAGGUUCCUUCUCCAGUCAAGUACUUCAGCCCUUCAUUUCUUGACCCAGAGCAUCCUAAAAUCUUUGACAACGCUCUCUCAGCCUCAGCCAGGUUGGGCCUGGGCUUCCAGUUACCCCACCUGGUGCAAAGCAGCAGCUGAAAAGUUCACUCACUAUAAACCUGAACCCCUCCAGAUGCUGUUUUAGGGAGAAAAUGAUCUCACCACUGUUAGGUAUCGGUAGUGCCUCCUGCCCCAGUGGCUGUGGCUAGCUGAGCUCUCUUCCCUCUCCAAAACCUAAUUAUGUUGGUAUAUAUGACUUCAUAACUUUACUUGGAGCUCUGUUCAAGAUGAUGCUUUUGGCAAGGAGCACCUACCAGAGAGGAGCAGAGCCAGGCGUUAAACAAAGGAGCUUACACAGGGCCCUUCCCAGCAAAGCAAUGGGCAGGGAUGGAAGUGACUCAUGGACAUGAAACAAGCUGGCUUCCAUUCAGAACCUAUUUACAGGGAGCGAUGAGAGGAUACCUGGAAGUGGUAAA